GACAAGUUAGACUAUCGAAGGCUUAGACCAUUUUCUAUUUCUACACAAAUCAAUCCAGUUGCAUAUCAUUUACAUCUACCGGUGUCGGGGUAGAAAGAGUUUGCCUCAAGAAAAUGCUAGGCUUUUGGCUAUCACAAAUUAUUCAAUCAAGCUUGAAAACAAGGGAAGCCCUAAGUUUAUAUAUAAUUUUUUCUUUUUGAGUAAUUAUACCAAAUAUACAAUCCUCAAGUAAUCCACAACUUCCAAAAUAUGAUAAAAUCUUCUAAAACCUUCUUUAAUCUUAUGUAGAGAUUUUUCCGAACUUCAACACCUCAUAUCUCCUAAUCCGACCGUCCAAACAAACUCAAAUUUUACAUGAGAUACUGAUGUAUUCUUAUUAACUUCUACAACAAAUUUCAACUGCAAAUUCAUUGCAAAUCUUGAGAUAUCUUGAAAACCUUAACAGUUGCUUCAAACCCUUGUCUUUAUACAUCUGCAUGCAAUUUUCUUCAUAUCUCACAAAAUAUAAGCUCAAAUGCUAUAAAAUUUGUUUUUAUAGCUUUUUAACACACAAAUUUACAUUCUCCAAAAGUUUGAGCCAAAAAUUCAUCCGAAUACUCAAGUUAUGGCUCCAACCAUUACUACAAAUAAAACUGCUUACUUACUACCUUUGAUUUGGAAGUGCCGCC
rnacentral:lncRNA from 1 species